ACGGCGAGUGAGCGGCAAAAGCUCAAAUUUGAAAUCUGGUACCUUCGGUGCCCGAGUUGUAAUUUGGAGAGGGCAACUUUGGGGCCGUUCCUUGUCUAUGUUCCUUGGAACAGGACGUCAUAGAGGGUGAGAAUCCCGUGUGGCGAGGAGUGCGGUUCUUUGUAAAGUGCCUUCGAAGAGUCGAGUUGUUUGGGAAUGCAGCUCUAAGUGGGUGGUAAAUUCCAUCUAAAGCUAAAUAUUGGCGAGAGACCGAUAGCGAACAAGUACAGUGAUGGAAAGAUGAAAAGAACUUUGAAAAGAGAGUGAAAAAGUACGUGAAAUUGUUGAAAGGGAAGGGCAUUUGAUCAGACAUGGUGUUUUGUGCCCUCUGCUCCUUGUGGGUAGGGGAAUCUCGCAUUUCACUGGGCCAGCAUCAGUUUUGGUGGCAGGAUAAAUCCAUAGGAAUGUAGCUUGCCUCGGUAAGUAUUAUAGCCUGUGGGAAUACUGCCAGCUGGGACUGAGGACUGCGACGUAAGUCAAGGAUGCUGGCAUAAUGGUUAUAUGCCGCCCG
rnacentral:rRNA from 1 species